rnacentral:lncRNA from 1 species
AAAGAAGAGCAAGUGUUUUCCCCAAGGAUUUUAGAACUGAUGUUAAAAAUGCAGCUUUGCGGGCAGUGACGGCAGCCCCAGGGGAUCUCAUCCCAGCCCCGCUCCCUCUGAGGCUAAUUGGAGAGCACCCGCAGGUGUGCACUGCUGGAUCACACUUUCUGAGCGAGGAGUCCUGGAGGUGACGCGCRGUGGAGGCGCGUGGCCGGCUGCAGCUGGUCCCCGUGCUCGUGGAGAGCAGAGGCCGUGCCAGGCACCGCAGCGCAACGGGCCGCUCAUCCCGCGCCUUCGUGCCUCGGCCCCAGCCCACAAGGUUUCUGACGAGAGCCGAGCCAGAAAUGAAACCUGGAACCUGUUGCUGCUAAUCAAGUCAUGA